CCUGUACAUUGUUAGAGCUUGGAGUUGAGGCCACUGUCUGGCCAGUGAACUCACAAGUGUAGGUCAUGCUACAUGAGGAGGAGCAAGUCUUUUGCUAACAGCACAGGGGGCUCUGGCCCAAUCAGUGACUGUGAUAGUAAUUCUUGCUACGUGU
ensembl:snoRNA SNORA62 Small nucleolar RNA SNORA62/SNORA6 family